UACAGAGGGUGCGAGCGUUGUCCGGAAUCACUGGGCGUAAAGAGCGUGUAGGCGGCUAGGUAGGUCCGUUGUGAAAACUCGAGGCUCAACCUCGAGCUGUCGAUGGAAACCAUCUGGCUAGAGUCCGGAAGAGGAGAGUGGAAUUCCUGGUGUAGCGGUGAAAUGCGCAGAUAUCAGGAAGAACACCCGUGGCGAAGGCGGCUCUCUGGUACGUGACUGACGCUGAGACGCGAAAGCGUGGGGAGCGAACAGG
rnacentral:rRNA from 1 species